GGGUGCAAGCGUUAAUCGGAAUUACUGGGCGUAAAGCGCGCGUAGGUGGUUGGUUAAGUUGGAUGUGAAAGCCCCGGGCUCAACCUGGGAACUGCAUCCAAAACUGGCCAGCUAGAGUACGGUAGAGGGUGGUGGAAUUUCCUGUGUAGCGGUGAAAUGCGUAGAUAUAGGAAGGAACACCAGUGGCGAAGGCGACCACCUGGACUGAUACUGACACUGAGGUGCGAAAGCGUGGGGAGCAA
rnacentral:rRNA from 1 species